rnacentral:piRNA from 1 species
UCUUGGUAUCCCGUAUUAAAA